rnacentral:rRNA from 1 species
UACAGAGGGUGCUAGCGUUGUUCGGAAUCAUUGGGCGUAAAGGGCGCGUAGGCGGCCUGCUAAGUCGAACGUGAAAUCCCUGGGCUCAACCCAGGAACUGCGUCCGAUACUGGUUGGCUUGAAUCCGGGAGAGGGAUGUGGAAUUCCAGGUGUAGCGGUGAAAUGCGUAGAUAUCUGGAGGAACACCGGUGGCGAAGGCGUCAUCCUGGACCGGUAUUGACGCUGAGGCGCGAAAGCCAGGGGAGCAAACGGG